rnacentral:rRNA from 1 species
UACGAAGGGGGCUAGCGUUGUUCGGAAUUACUGGGCGUAAAGCGUGCGUAGGUUGUAUAUCAAGUUAGUGGUGAAAGCCCAGGGCUUAACUCUGGAACUGCCAUUAAAACUGAUAUGCUAGAGAGUGUUAGAGGUAAGUGGAAUUCCUAGUGUAGGAGUGAAAUGCGUAGAUAUCUGGAGGAACACCGGUGGCGAAGGCGGCAUCCUGGACCGGCAUUGACGCUGAGGAGCGAAAGCUAGGGGAGCAAACGGG